rnacentral:misc_RNA from 1 species
GGAUCAAUAUGUGACCCAUCGAUAACAUGCCAAGGCCUCCAAUUUCCUUGGGAGUAUAGAAAAUAACUGGAGGAAACCUGCUGGGCAUCUUCGAAUUCAAACCGAUCUUAAUACGAGUUUGAAUUUUAUUUUCACACUUGACCAGCAAAUCUAGCAGUUCUUGAGUGUGAACAGUUGCCUCACGGAAGUAAGUCAUGAGACCAAUCAGAGCAGUAUUCCAUUUGUUGACAAUUUUCGUAAACGUUGUGGACCCUGAAGACAUAAGAAUUUGCCUAACACGAUUUUCAAACACCUUCAUGUGUUCG